rnacentral:misc_RNA from 1 species
ACUUCUCAACUCCUCACGGUUUGCCCGUGAUGAGCUUGGACUUUGGGGGUCUUGCCGGCCUGCGGGUCGGCUCCUCUCAAAUGAAUCAGCUUGCCAGUGUUUGGUGGCAUCACAGGUGUGAUAACUAUCUACGCUUGUGGUUUUCUGCCAGGCAACCUCCAGCGAUGGGGGUUCACUGGAGCUCACAAAUGUCUCUCCUCGGUGAGGACGGCUCUUUGAAC